rnacentral:rRNA from 1 species
AUUGAACGCUGGCGGCAGGCUUAACACAUGCAAGUCGAGCGGAAACGAUGUAGCUUGCUACAGGCGUCGAGCGGCGGACGGGUGAGUAACGCGUAGGAAUCUGCCUAUUAGUGGGGGACAACAUGUGGAAACGCAUGCUAAUACCGCAUACGCCCUACGGGGGAAAGGAGGGGAUCUUCGGACCUUUGGCUAUUAGAUGAGCCUGCGUAAGAUUAGCUAGUUGGUAGGGUAAAGGCCUACCAAGGCGACGAUCUUUAACUGGUCUGAGAGGAUGGCCAGUCACACGGGGACUGAGACACGGCCCAGACUCCUACGGGAGGCAGCAGUGGGGAAUAUUGGACAAUGGGCGCAAGCCUGAUCCAGCCAUGCCGCGUGUGUGAAGAAGGCCUUAGGGUUGUAAAGCACUUUCAGGGGUGAGGAAGGGUGUUUGGUUAAUAUCCAAACAUUUUGACGUUAGCUCCAGAAGAAGCACCGGCUAACUCUGUG